CCGGUUACGUCACAGCGCCGCGACUAGGCCUGUCCCAAUUCAAAGACUCCUUCAAAUGCGGUCGACGAAUGCGGCCUUCUUUUCGCCUGAAUGAAGGAUGGGUCCGGUGUAUCAUUCAAUAGGUAGCAUUUCCCAAGAUGCCUUGCGGGCCGGCCGGCAGAAAAACUUAAAAACAAUGGCGGACAGUGAAGCGGGAGCUGUCGGAGAGGAUUGUGCAUAUAAAUGUCAGUAUAAACUUGAAAACUGUUAGGUUAAGGACUUUUUGUGAUACAUGAACGUUAUUUUAGUUAGAAAUGUUACAGUAAAAGUGCUUGUAUUGCGGUCUCUGCUCGUAUGUUCGGCCGCUCGGUGUCUAACUUCUCCCGCUACGUUUUCCCCCUGAUUUUAAUAGAAGUUUGUAUUUUAGGAACAAAAGAGAAAACCAGGGAAUUUAUUAAGCUUAGGGCGGAGAUGGACCACAUCAUCACUGGAGCCAAGUAUUCGGCGGCUGUGGCAUGGAGACUAUUCUGGAGAAAAUGGGCAUCCAGGGGAAGGUGCCAGCGAUGACCAGCUUCUGGAUCUGAUCAGGGAGGACAUGAGGCUGCAGAUGGAGGCAGAGCAGCAGAGGGCACAGGAGAGAAGGAAGAACUUUGACAGCUUUUUACUUUGCUAGAAAAAAUGGUUAAUAAAGAUUAAACAUGUACAUAUAAAAGAAAUAUCUAAAUAAAAUCAGUUCUGCAUUAAACUCUUGAAUUUUAUUUUUGUUUACAAAUGAGAAUUGUUUACUAGAGGGUAUCCGCUGGGUCUUGAAAAGUCUUAAAAGGUGAUAAAUCGGUUUUGGUCAAAUUAAGACCCUUAGAAAGUAUUAAAAACUAUUAUCACAUCUUUGCUCAGGCUCAGCUUGUCGAAAGUAUUUUCUCUGAAUUAGCUCUCCAACAGUCAAGGAAAUGAUUAACCCCCAGAGACCCACGGUUGUAGUAUUACAACAUCAGAUUUAAGUCCACAAAAAUAAACCUUCCCCAUUUUUUUUCUUUUUAAAACCACAUUUACAUUGCUAAUAGGUCCUAUUGUUCAGUUCUGCAACACUAUUGGCUGUUAAAAUGUGUAAAUAGGCCCGUUUAUCUGGCCUCCUAGAACAACAUGUGAAAGGUUAAAAAAAGAUUUUGCAGUUGUUUUCUAAAUUUGGGUUUCUGGGGGUUAAAAAGCUAAAUAAAACGUUGAGCUCCGUCGUUUAAAGUUCCUUCUCCCUUCUGCCCAGCGGUUCCACGGUUGCUAGGCGACGGAACGUUCGCCGAGGGAGUUCAUGAAGGCUAGGCCUGUCCAAAUUCACAGCCGUUAACAUCCGGUCUACCCGGCCGACGGAGGACGCAGCCCACGUCGGCCGGGUGGGCUGGGUCCUUCGAAGGAUGCAGACCCUGAAUUGAGACACAGCCAUCGUUGCUCAUUGGUCACGUGACUUUCAGUAAACAAAUCAAGCUCCGACAAAGUGCUUUGCUCUGCGGUGGUUCGUUUUGGUGAUACAAGCUUCGAAUCCUGCGUGUCACAGAUGCUGAGCUGUCAUAGCAGUACCUACCUCAGACUUUUCUGUGCAUCCUCAGUUCCUUCGUUAUAAAUAAAUCAUUUUUGACCC